rnacentral:rRNA from 1 species
UACAGAGGUCCCGAGCGUUGUUCGGAUUCAUUGGGCGUAAGGGUGCGUAGGCGGCGGGGCAAGUCUGAUGUGAAUCCCGGGGCUCAACCCCGGAACUGCAUUGGAUACUGCCUUGCUUGAGUACUGGAGAGGGAACUGGAAUUUACGGUGUAGCAGUGAAAUGCGUAGAGAUCGAUAAGGAAGGCCAGUGGCGAAGGCGAGUUCCUGGACAGUUACUGACGCUGAGGCACGGAAGGCCAGGGGAGCAAAACGGG